GCGCAAUAGACGAGUUGGCGUAA
rnacentral:siRNA from 1 species